AAGCGACUAAGCGUACACGGUGGAUGCCUAGGCAGUCAGAGGCGAUGAAGGGCGUGCUAAUCUGCGAAAAGCGUCGGUAAGGUGAUAUGAACCGUUAUAACCGACGAUACCCGAAUGGGGAAACCCAGUGCAAUUCGUUGCACUAUUGCAUGGUGAAUACAUAGCCAUGCAAGGCGAACCGGGGGAACUGAAACAUCUAAGUACCCCGAGGAAAAGAAAUCAACCGAGAUUCCCCCAGUAGCGGCGAGCGAACGGGGAGGAGCCCAGAACCUGAAUCAGCGUAUGUGUUAGUGGAAGCGUCUGGAAAGUCGCACGGUACAGGGUGAUAGUCCCGUACACAAAAAUGCAUAUGUUGUGAGUUCGAUGAGUAGGGCGGGACACGUGACAUCCUGUCUGAAUAUGGGGGGACCAUCCUCCAAGGCUAAAUACUCCUGACUGACCGAUAGUGAACCAGUACCGUGAGGGAAAGGCGAAAAGAACCCCGGCGAGGGGAGUGAAACAGAACCUGAAACCGUGUACGUACAAGCAGUGGGAGCACCUUCGUGGUGUGACUGCGUACCUUUUGUAUAAUGGGUCAGCGACUUAUAUUUUGUAGCAAGGUUAACCGAAUAGGGGAGCCGUAGGG
rnacentral:rRNA from 1 species